UAGACUCUGCUUUCAUUUGGUGGACUGAGCUGUCAAUCAAAUGGCUCUGGGCGGGGCUUUCUGUCCAGGGUGGGUAGUCGUACCUGAUCACAGGAUUCCUUCCUGACGGCAGCUCCUAGCAUGGCUGAAGUCAAGUGAUGGCACCGUGUCGCUUCGGCUGAUUCUACCAGCAGACACUGAAAGGGCUCUGAUAGUUUGGUGUCUCAUGUUCACUGUGAGGAUCUUCUGAGUGAAGCCAACAGAAGAAAAACCUCAUCUGGUUGUGAAGAAGGAGACUGAAUGGACGACAUCCUCAGUGAACCACUUCCUGUUUAACUUUCAGUUACAGAAGGACAGACCAACUCUCAGCAGUUUAUUAUUCUCUGUUCUUAGUAUUCACAGGUUCUAUUUAUCACCUUUAACUGCAUCUCUGCUGUUGGAGCAGAAAUACAAUAUAAAAAGUCCAUGUUAUUUAUAGCAAAUAUGCAGCAUUAAAACAUCAACACAUUCA